CAGCUGUUGCCUUCUCACCUGCAGAGUAUCUCACCAUGAUCUCCAUCAUGUGUAAUGAGUAUUACAAUGCUGGCUGUGCUCCCCCUCUCCCGAUGCGCUAGGACACACAAUAGCUCCUGAUACCUUGUAGUUAUGGGCAUUAUGUGUAUUCAUCUUGCUGAGACUUGUGCCUUCCCCAAGCAAACUGUAUCUUUUAAUGGACAAAGAAUUAAGAAGCUGCAAGACUCCUCCUUUAUUGCUCUUCAGACAAAAUGAGCAGGGUAUAGCUCAGAGGCACCAUUCCUAUGCCUGCUGAAGGAUUGAUUGGAGCUGGAAAGAAAAUCAGUGGGUGUUGUAGACACACGAUGAGAGCCGGGAGGGAGUUUGGUGUGCCAGUGCUACCUGGAGUGAUGUUUGGCCCCUGGAGAGCAGAACAGAAAUUGGCCUCUGCUUUCAAACUCGUGAAAGACUCUUCUGCGGUAGAGCAAAUGGAAGAAGAUGCCCUCUGAAGCCUGAAUCUUUCAAAGUUCAUGUUUGGAAGCACCUCUUCAAGUAUGAAAUGCCACCUAGUGCUGCAGUCUACACCCCUUUGGCCCCUGAAAGACCACCACUUCCACACCACAGCAGGCUCUAGAGCUGCAAGUGCAGAUGUGAGUCCUACCUGUGGAUGCUGCCCUGCAAGAGUCUGACAUCAGCAAGGAAUCCCAGUGCACACUAGAGAUCCUGUAAGUUUUGUCCUAGAUGCACUUUUGAUGACAAAUGACUACUGUAAGGACAAAAUCCUACAGCUGUUUUCUCCUGCUCUCCAGCAAGGUUAAUGACAAUCAGCUUAUCUUGGCUAAAAAGUGUUAGUUUUGGGACACUGGUGUCUUCAUGCUGUGAAUCAGUAUGCUUGU